rnacentral:rRNA from 1 species
AAUAUUGCACAAUGGAGGAAACUCUGAUGCAGCGACGCCGCGUGAACGAUGAAGGCCUUCGGGUCGUAAAGUUCUGUCCUGGGGGACGAUAAUGACGGUACCCCAGGAGGAAGCCCCGGCUCACUACGUGUCAGCAGCCGCGGUAAUACGUAGGGGGCGAGCGUUGUCCGGAAUUAUUGGGCGUAAAGGGUUCGUAGGCGGUUUUUUAAGUCAGAUGUGAAAGGUCACGGCUCAACCGUGGUAAGCAUUUGAAACUGAAAGACUUGAGUUAAGGAGAGGAAAGUGGAAUUCCCAGUGUAGCGGUGAAAUGCGUAGAUAUUGGGAGGAACACCAGUGGCGAAGGCGACUACCUGGACGAAAACUGACGCUGAUGCACGAAAGCGUGGGGAGCGAACAG